rnacentral:rRNA from 1 species
UACCAGCACCCCGAGUGGUCGGGACGAUUAUUGGGCCUAAAGCAUCCGUAGCCGGCCUUACAAGUCCUCCGUUAAAUCCAGCUGCUUAACAGAUGGGCUGCGGAGGAUACUACAAGACUAGGAGGCAGGAGAGGCAAGCGGUACUCAGUGGGUAGGGGUAAAAUCCGUUGAUCCAUUGAAGACCACCAGUGGCGAAGGCGGCUUGCCAGAAUGCGCUCGACGGUGAGGGAUGAAAGCUGGGGGAGCAAACCGG